rnacentral:rRNA from 1 species
AGCAGCCGCGGUAAUUCCAGCUCCAAUAGCGUAUAUUAAAGUUGUUGCAGUUAAAAAGCUCGUAGUUGAAUUUCGGGGUUAGUAGGCUGGUCAUGCCACCGGUAUGUACUGGUCUUACUGAUUCCUCCUUCCUGAUGAACUGUAAUGCCAUUAAUUUGGUGUUGCAGGGAAUCUGGACUGUUACUUUGAAAAAUUAGAGUGUUUAAAGCAGGCUAACGCUUGAAUACAUUAGCAUGGAAUAAUGAAAUAGGACGUUCGAUCCUAUUUUGUUGGUUUCUAGGAUUGACGUAAUGAUUAAUAGGGAUAGUUGGGGGCAUUAGUAUUCAAUUGUCAGAGGUGAAAUUCUUGGAUUUAUUGAAGACUAACUACUGCGAAAGCAUUUGCCAAGGAU